CGCAAUGUAUUUCUUAAAUCAGGACAAAUUUGGGAGAGUUAAGCAAGAACCUGAUGGAGCUUUGGAGAUGUCAAAAAGAGGGACGAAGAAUAUUGGCUCCAACAAAGGAAGAUAAGGGGGAGAAGACGACAGAGAUGAUAAUCUUUUACAAUACAUGAUGAGUAUGUAUAUUUAAUUCUUAUUAAUGGUAUACAAUUUGAAGAAACCAUUGAGUGACAUAAUAUUUACUUUAAUGAUGAUGUAUGUAGGCAACAUGAUACCAUGCUUGAACUUAACAAUAUGCUAAAUGAAACA